rnacentral:rRNA from 1 species
UACGGAGGGAGCUAGCGUUGUUCGGAAUUACUGGGCGUAAAGCGCACGUAGGCGGCUUUGUAAGUUAGAGGUGAAAGCCCGGAGCUCAACUCCGGAAUUGCCUUUAAGACUGCAUCGCUUGAAUCCAGGAGAGGUGAGUGGAAUUCCGAGUGUAGAGGUGAAAUUCGUAGAUAUUCGGAAGAACACCAGUGGCGAAGGCGGCUCACUGGACUGGUAUUGACGCGUGAGGUGCGAAAGCGUGGGGAGCAAACAGG